UGGGGAAUUUUGGACAAUGGGGGCAACCCUGAUCCAGCAAUGCCGCGUGUGUGAAGAAGGCCUUCGGGUUGUAAAGCACUUUUGUCCGGGAAGAAAUCGCACCUGAUAAUACCGGGUGUGGAUGACGGUACCGGAAGAAUAAGGACCGGCUAACUACGUGCCAGCAGCCGCGGUAAUACGUAGGGUCCAAGCGUUAAUCGGAAUUACUGGGCGUAAAGCGUGCGCAGGCGGUUGUGCAAGACCGAUGUGAAAUCCCCGGGCUUACCUGGGAAUUGCAUUGGUGACUGCACGGCUAGAGUGUGUCAGAGGGGGGUAGAAUUCCACGUGUAGCAGUGAAAUGCGUAGAGAUGUGGAGGAAUACCGAUGGCGAAGGCAGCCCCCUGGGAUAACACUGACGCUCAUGCACGAACGCGUGGGGAGCAAACAGG
rnacentral:rRNA from 1 species